CGCCCACGAUUCGAGGAAUCUGGGCAACUGAUGGAGCAACCCAGUUCCAGUCGACAUGGUAUUGCUGAGCUUGUACACUAUCACAGGGAUCUAAUGUAACUAGCAUGGACUUUCAUCCUUCACAUCAUACUUUCAUCCUUCACAUCAUACGCUACUACUAGUUGGAUCUGCGAAUGGUGAAUUUACACUUUGGAAGAUUGGUACACACGAGAAGCUGCUCUCUAAGCCCUUCAAAGUCUGGGACAUGCAAGCAUGUUCAACACAAUAUCAGUUUAAUUCUCAGAGUUCUUCUAUCUCUUCUCAAGGGGGCCUUGGGCUAGGGGUUCAGGGACCAGAAUUAUCAAUAUGUGCACACGCUGGGCAAACAAAAAGUGACGAGCAACAAGGCUUGGCCGAUGAUGUUGGUGUGGAGUCUGCUGCAACAACUGGACCGAUUAAGCACACCAAUGAAGAUGACACGAAGGCUCGUUGCUCGGUUGCCACGUGGAUGCUCUUUGGACUACGAUAUGGACAUGAAGGCAUUUGUUUUAGUGCCAAAUAUUACUUACUAAUGCCAGCAAAGUAUCGUU